UACGAAGGGGCUAGCGUUGCUCGGAAUUACUGGGCGUAAAGCGCACGUAGGCGGCUUUCUAAGUCGGGGGUGAAAUCCUGGAGCUCAACUCCAGAACUGCCUUCGAUACUGGAGAGCUCGAGUCCGGGAGAGGUGAGUGGAACUGCGAGUGUAGAGGUGAAAUUCGUAGAUAUUCGCAAGAACACCAGUGGCGAAGGCGGCUCACUGGCCCGGUACUGACGCUGAGGUGCGAAAGCGUGGGGA
rnacentral:rRNA from 1 species